rnacentral:rRNA from 1 species
AUUAGCUCAGUCGGUAGAGCACCUGACUUUUAAUCAGGGUGUCCCGCGUUCGAGUCGCGGAUAGAUCACCAAUGGAGAGGUGUCCGAGUGGUUUAAGGAGCUGGUCUUGAAAACCAGUGACUUCGAAAGGGGCCGUGGGUUCGAAUCCCACCCUCUCCGCCAAAUGCCCAGAUAGCUCAGUCGGUAGAGCAGGGGACUGAAAAUCCCCGUGUCGGUGGUUCGAUUCCGCCUCUGGGCACCAAAAUAUGGCGGUAUAGCUUAGUUGGCUAGAGCGUUCGGUUCAUACCCGAAAGGUCAUAGGUUCGACUCCUAUUACCGCUACUAAAAUUUAAUGUGGGCCAUUAGCUCAGUUGGUUAGAGCGCCCGGCUCAUAACCGGUAGGUCUGGGGUUCGAGUCCCUGAUGGCCCACCACAUUAAAUUAAUUAAUAUAAAUAUAAAUUCGAGGUGUAGCGCAGUUUGGUAGCGCACAUGGUUUGGGACCAUGGGGCCGGGGGUUCGAGUCCCUUCACCUCGACCAAUAUAAGGUGGGUAUAGCUCAGUUGGUUAGAGCGCCAGAUUGUGGCUCUGGAGGUCGUGAGUUCGACUCUCAUUAUCCACCCCAAAUUAUAUGGUCUAUUAGCUCAGUCGGUAGAGCACCUGACUUUUAAUCAGGGUGUCCCGCGUUCGAGUCGCGGAUAGAUCACCAAAAAGGUGGCGACAUAGCCAAGUGGUAAGGCAGUGGACUGCAACUCCUUGAUCCCCAGUUCGAAUCUGGGUGUCGCCUCCAAAAUAUUCCAAGGUAGCUCAACGGUGGAGCAACCGGCUGUUAACCGGUAGGCUGUGGGUUCGAGCCCCACCCUUGGAGCCAAAAAAAGCCGAAGUGGCGGAACUGGCAGACGCACAGGACUUAAAAUCCUGCGGGACUUACCUCUCGUACCGGUUCGAUUCCGGUCUUCGGCACUUAUAAAACAAUAUCGCGGAGUGGAGCAGUUGGCAGCUCGUCGGGCUCAUAACCCGAAGGUCGUAGGUUCAAGUCCUGCCUCCGCAACCAUUAAAAUGGCUCGUUGGUCAAGAGGUUAAGACACCGCCCUUUCACGGCGGUAACAGGGGUUCAAUUCCNNNNNNNNNNNNNNNGGGCGGUCGCCUCCCAAAAGGUAACGGAGGCGCUCAAAGGUUCUCUCAGUACGGUCGGAAAUCGUACGUAGAGUGUAAAGGCAAAAGAGAGCUUGAUUGCAAGACAUACAGGUCGAGCAAGGAUGAAAAUCGGACUUAGUGAUCCGGUGGUUCUGCGUGGAAGGGCCAUCGCUCAACGGAUAAAAGCUACCCUGGGGAUAACAGGCUUAUCUCCCCCAAGAGUCCACAUCGACGGGGAGGUUUGGCACCUCGAUGUCGGCUCAUCACAUCCUGGGGCUGUAGUAGGUCCCAAGGGUUGGGCUGUUCGCCCAUUAAAGUGGUACGCGAGCUGGGUUCAGAACGUCGUGAGACAGUUCGGUCCCUAUCCGUCGCAGGCGUAGGAAAUUUGAGAAGACCUGUCCUUAGUACGAGAGGACCGGGAUGGACGUACCUCUGGUGUACCAGUUGUCCUGCCAAGGGCAUGGCUGGGUAGCUAUGUACGGAAUGGAUAAGCGCUGAAAGCAUCUAAGCGCGAAGCCAACUUCAAGAUAAGAUUUCCCACCGCAAGGGUAAGACCCCAGAAAGACUAUCUGGUUGAUAGGUCGAAGGUGUAAGUGCAGCAAUGUAUUUAGCUUAUCGAUACUAAUAGGUCGAGGACUUGACC